GGCUCAGGACGAACGCUGGCGGCGUGCCUAACACAUGCAAGUCGAGCGGGGACAUUGCGACGGAUUUGAAGUUUUCGGAUGGAUUUGAAGAUGUAAUGUUCUAGCGGCGGACGGGUGAGUAACGCGUGAGCAACCUGUCCCUUACAGGGGGAUAACACAGCGAAAGUUGUACUAAUACCGCAUAAGACCACAGAGCGACAUCGCUUAGGGGUCAAAGGAGCAAUCCGGUAAGGGGUGGGCUCGCGUCCGAUUAGAUAGUUGGUGAGGUAACGGCCCACCAAGUCGACGAUCGGUAGCCGACCUGAGAGGGUGAUCGGCCACAUUGGGACUGAGACACGGCCCAAACUCCUACGGGAGGCAGCAGUGGGGAAUAUUGGGCAAUGGGGGAAACCCUGACCCAGCAACGCCGCGUGAGGGAAGAAGGUUUUCGGAUCGUAAACCUCUGUCCUUGGUGAAGAGAAAGAGACGGUAGCCAAGGAGGAAGCCCCGGCUAACUACGUGCCAGCAGCCGCGGUAAUACGUAGGGGGCGAGCGUUGUCCGGAAUGAUUGGGCGUAAAGGGCGCGUAGGCGGCCCGGUAAGUCUGGAGUGAAAGUCCUGCUUUUAAGGUGGGAAUUGCUUUGGAUACUGUCGGGCUUGAGUGCAGGAGAGGUAAGUGGAAUUCCCAGUGUAGCGGUGAAAUGCGUAGAGAUUGGGAGGAACACCAGUGGCGAAGGCGACUUACUGGAC
rnacentral:rRNA from 1 species